rnacentral:rRNA from 1 species
AUGCACAAGAUCUCGUUGCUAUCGGAGCUGGGCUUCAACGCCGGCGGAGCAUCGUCGGAUUUCUUCCGCCCCGUGGCCGACAGCUUACCGCUCACACCCAUCUCCUCCGGCAGUCCGCACCACCGCCUCACCAAGGUCUCCGUCAUCGGCGCCGGCAAGGUGGGCAUGGCCAUCGCGCAGACCAUCCUCACCCAGAACCUCGCCGACGAGAUCGCGCUCGUCAGCGCCCACCCCAACAAGCUCCGCGGCGAGGCGCUGGACCUGCCGCACGCCGCCGCCUUCCUCCCCCGCGUCCACAUUGUCUAUGGCACCGAUGCCGCGGUGACCAAGAACUCGGACCUCGUGGUCAUCACCGCGGGGGCCAGGCAGACGCCGGAGGAGACCAGGCUGAACCUGCUGGAGAGGAACGUUGCGCUAUGCCGGAACAUCGUGCCGCCCGUGGCGGAGCACUCCCCGGACGCACUGCUGCUCGUGGUGUCCAAUCCCGUUGACGUGCUCACCUAUGUCGCAUGGAAGCUCUCCGGGUUCCCGGCCAGCCGCGUCGUCGGGUCCGGCACCAACCUCGACGCCUCUAGGUUCAGAUUCCUCAUCGCCGAGCACCUGGACGUCAACGCACAAGAUGUGCAGGCGUACAUGAUUGGUGAGCACGGCGACAGCUCGGUGGCGGUCUGGUCGAGCAUCAGCGUGGGCGGGAUGCCGGCAUUCAAGUGGCUGCGAAACAGCCAUCGUUCCUUCGACGAGGCGGCGCUGGACGGCAUCCGGCAUGCCAUGGUGGGCGGUGCCUACGAGGUGAUCGGCCUCAAGGGGUACACCUCCUGGGCCAUCGGCUACUCCGUAGCAAGCCUCGCUGCCUCCCUCCUCCGCGAUCAACACAGCGUGCACCCGGUCUCUGUCCUUGCCGCAGGCUUCCACGACAUCUCCGAAGACCAUGAGGUGUUCCUAAGCCUGCCCGCGCUCCUCUGCCGCCGCGGCGUCCUCGGGGUAGCCGAGAUGGACCUCACCGAGGAUGAGGCCGCCCAGCUCCGGAGCUCCGCCAAGACGCUCUGGGAGAAAUGCCAGCUCCUCGACCUCUGA